UACGGAGGGUGCAAGCGUUGUUCGGAAUCAUUGGGCGUAAAGCGCGCGUAGGCGGACCUGCAAGUCGGGGGUGAAAGCCCGAGGCUCAACCUCGGAACUGCCUUCGAUACUGCGGGUCUCGAGUCCGGGAGAGGUGAGUGGAAUUCCUAGUGUAGAGGUGAAAUUCGUAGAUAUUAGGAAGAACACCAGUGGCGAAGGCGGCUCACUGGCCCGGUACUGACGCUGAGGCGCGAAAGCGUGGGGGAGCAAACAGGG
rnacentral:rRNA from 1 species